CCUACGGGUGGCAGCAGUGGGGAAUAUUGGGCAAUGGGCGCAAGCCUGACCCAGCAACGCCGCGUGAAGGAAGAAGGCUUUCGGGUUGUAAAGCUCUAUCAGCAGGGAAGAAAAUGACGGUACCUGACUAAGAAGCCCCGGCUAACUACGUGCCAGCAGCCGCGGUAAUACGUAGGGGGCAAGCGUUAUCCGGAUUUACUGGGUGUAAAGGGAGCGUAGACGGUUAAUCAAGUCAGAAGUGAAAACCCAGGGCUCAACCUUGGGACUGCUUUUGAAACUGAGUAGCUAGAGUGCAGGAGAGGUAAGCGGAAUUCCUAGUGUAGCGGUGAAAUGCGUAGAUAUUAGGAGGAACACCAGUGGCGAAGGCGGCUUACUGGACUGUAACUGACGUUGAGGCUCGAAAGCGUGGGGAGCGAACAGGAUUAGAUACCCCAGUAGUC
rnacentral:rRNA from 1 species